rnacentral:rRNA from 1 species
AACGAACGCUGGCGGCAUGCCUAACACAUGCAAGUCGAACGAGACGUUCGGGUCCAUGGUCGCACGGGUUCGUAACGCGUGGGAACCUUCCCUUAUGGUUGGAAUAACUCCCCGAAAGGGGUGCUAAUACCGGAUAAUGUCUUCUGACCAAAGAUUUAUCGCCUUUGGAUGGGCGCUCGUUGGAUUAGCUAGUUGUUAGGGUAAUAGCAUACCAAGGCGACGAUUCAUAGCUGGUCUGAGAGGAUGAUCAGCCACACUGGGACUGGGACCCGGCCCAGAAUCCUACGGGAGGCAGCAGUGGGGAAUAUUGGACAAUGGGCGAAAGCCUGAUCCAGCAAUGACGCGUGAGUGAUGAAGGCCUUAGGGUUGUAAAGCUCUUUUACCCGGGAUGAUAAUGACAGUACCGGGAGAAUAAGCUCCGGCUAACUCCGUG